UAGGGAAUAUUGGACAAUGGGGGAAACCCUGAUCCAGCAAUGCCGCGUGUGUGAAGAAGGCCUGCGGGUUGUAAAGCACUUUUGUCGGGGAAGAAAAGCGCUGUGCUAAUACCACGGCGUCUUGACGUAACCCGGAGAAUAAGCACCGGCUAACUCUGUGCCAGCAGCCGCGGUAAUACAGAGGGUGCAAGCGUUAAUCGGAAUUACUGGGCGUAAAGCGUGUGUAGGCGGUUACUUAAGUCGGGUGUGAAAUCCCUGGGCUCAACCUAGGAAUUGCAUUCGAUACUGGGUAGCUAGAGUAUGGUAGAGGGUGGCGGAAUUCCGGGUGUAGCGGUGAAAUGCGUAGAUAUCCGGAGGAACACCAGUGGCGAAGGCGGCCACCUGGACUGAUACUGACGCUGAGACACGAAAGCGUGGGGAGCAAACAGG
rnacentral:rRNA from 1 species